GUUACUUUAAAGUAACUUUCUUUCUGUCUCUCUGCUAGCAGUUUAUUUCUAGUACAGAGAAAGAAACCCAAAUCAAAAACACUUGUAAUCUGAGAUUAUGGACUAUUUAAGUUUACCAAAAUAUAGGGAAGUGAUUCCUCAUAAUAUCAUCGGUAACUCUUAUUCCACGCAUGACAUGACUAGUUCAUGCUGACGACCACUGAUACAGAUUAUAUUUUUUCCAAGUUUGGGGAGUAAGGUCAUGAUGAACUCCAAACAAUGCCUUCCUCACCUGAGAAACAUAAUUCCUUUGCCAUUUGAAAUAACACUGUCAAGCCUUCUUUGCAUGCUAUAUUAAAGAUGAUAAGGCUGAAAGGUUACUUUUCUUUAUUAACUUCAUCCACUUUCCCAAAACUUUGGGUAAAAUCUCGCCUGCUGUGAGAAAUAUAAAUACAGUAUCAUAAGAGAUACAUGUAUACUUACUUAGUUAUAGAAAUUUGUAAUAAAUUUGGAUAUCAUCCCUCUGUAUUCGGAGUACCUUUACAUUAAUAUACUUAGUAUUAACUUAAACAGAUAUUUAUGAUAGAAUACAUAAAGCAAAAAUUCAAAUUUUAACAGCCAGGUUAUAUCACCAUAGAGUCUACAAAUUAAAGCUAUUCAUUAUUGCAAAGUAUUAAAGAAAAGAACUGGAAGAUCCUAACUGCAGUUUGAAGUAUUACAUAGACUGCAUGGCAUGGCUACAUGUAAUACUGCACAUAAAUGUAGAUGUAAGAGCUUUAAACUUUGAUAGUGCACAGAUAAACUGAAUAUUGAAUGAAAAACCAUCUGGAUAUAACCUGAUGAAACAUUAAAUUUCAUCUCAUCUUAACUCUUUCAAGUGAU